rnacentral:lncRNA from 1 species
CGCAUAGGACUUCUCCUUUCUACCAAGGUCGAUAGAUUUCAUCUAGGUGCAUCCUACUCCAAAUUAUGAACCUGAACCUACAUAGCCAACAUACACAGCAAGGACCCAUAUAGCUAGAGACCAAAGGAACGUACAGUCAAACUAUGUAACCUCGCUAUGAAUAGCCAACACAUCCAGGUCAAAGGAUCAGUCACACCACUAC